rnacentral:rRNA from 1 species
AGUGAACGCUGGCGGUAGGCCUAACACAUGCGAGUCGAACGGCAGCACAGUAAGAGCUUGCUCUUACGGGUGGCGAGUGGCGGACGGGUGAGGAAUACAUCGGAAUCUACUUUUUCGUGGGGGAUAACGUAGGGAAACUUACGCUAAUACCGCAUACGACCUACGGGUGAAAGCAGGGGAUCUUCGGACCUUGCGCGAUUGAAUGAGCCGAUGUCGGAUUAGCUAGUUGGCAGGGUAAAGGCCCACCAAGGCGACGAUCCGUAGCUGGUCUGAGAGGAUGAUCAGCCACACUGGAACUGAGACACGGUCCAGACUCCUACGGGAGGCAGCAGUGGGGAAUAUUGGACAAUGGGCGCAAGCCUGAUCCAGCCAUACCGCGUGGGUGAAGAAGGCCUUCGGGUUGUAAAGCCCUUUUGUUGGGAAAGAAAAGCAGCAGGUUAAUACCCCGCUGUUCUGACGGUACCCAAAGAAUAAGCACCGGCUAACUUCGUG